rnacentral:rRNA from 1 species
UUGGAGGGCAAGUCUGGUGCCAGCAGCCGCGGUAAUUCCAGCUCCAAUAGCGUAUAUUAAAGUUGUUGCAGUUAAAAAGCUCGUAGUUGAAUUUCGGGAUCAAAUAAUCGGUCGUGCCUCCGGUACGUACUGGUUUUAUUGGUCCCUCCCUUCUGACGAACCAUGAUGUCAUUAAUUUGAUGUGGUGGAGAAUCAGGACUGUUACCUUGAAAAAAUUAGAGUGUUUAAAGCAGGCUAACGCUUGAAUACAUUAGCAUGGAAUAAUGAAAUAGGACGUUCGAUCCUAUUUUGUUGGUUUCUAGGAUCAACGUAAUGAUUAAUAGGGAUAGUUGGGGGCAUUAGUAUUCAAUUGUCAGAGGUGAAAUUCUUGGAUUUAUUGAAGACUAACUACUGCGAAAGCAUUUGCCAAGGAUGUUUUCAUUAAUCAAGAACGAAAGUUAGGGGAUCGAAGACGAUCAGAUACCGUCGUAGUCUUAACCAUAAACUAUGCCGACUAGGGAUCGGAUGAUGUUAAUUUUUUAAUGACUCAUUCGGCGCCUUACGGGAAAC